UCUUCACUAGUAUAUCGGUUAGUAUAUUCGCCUCUCAUUAGAGAGUUGCCAGAGAUGGCUUGACCGCGAAAGAGCAGGGUUCAACUCCCUGGUGGAGAA